AUGCCUACGAACCAGAGCCCAACCGAAUCGGAUCAGAACGCCGUCCCGUGGCUGAUCCGAGCCGUCCACCCGCUAGGGUUUCCCCUUCCCAGCACCCUACCCCCCUAUAAAGUAGGAGGUGAGAGCCCCCGCCGCCAACAAUCUACGGAGAUCGGGUUCGUCCACACACUUCCGCCGCCGCCGCCGACGACGCGAAAAGGAGAGCGAGGCCGACUCCGCCGCCGCGAUGAGGGCCAAGUGGAAGAAGAAGAGGAUGAGGAGGCUCAAGAGGAAGCGCCGAAAGAUGAGGCAGCGAUCCAAGUAGGCGGGAAGCAUCAUCUUACAUCCAGGCAGCGGAACUCUGAGGGAUGA
rnacentral:rRNA from 1 species